rnacentral:rRNA from 1 species
UACGUAGGUCCCGAGCGUUGUCCGGAUUUAUUGGGCGUAAAGCGAGCGCAGGUGGUUUAUUAAGUCUGGUGUAAAAGGCAGUGGCUCAACCAUUGUAUGCAUUGGAAACUGGUAGGCUUGAGUGCAGGAGAGGAGAGUGGAAUUCCAUGUGUAGCGGUGAAAUGCGUAGAUAUAUGGAGGAACACCGGUGGCGAAAGCGGCUCUCUGGCCUGUAACUGACACUGAGGCUCGAGAGCGUGGGGAGCAAACAGG